AUGAGUUGUUCAUUCAUCUGUUCUCUUUUUAUUUUAUUUUUCUUUUUUAGUUUCUGAUAGGAACAAGUUGUCUGUCGGUGAUGAUAUUUCUCUUAUUUUUAAGCUUAAUAUACCAUUUCUUAUUCACAAAAAUUACAUGCAAAUUCACCUUCAAAAUUACUCGAUAAUAUAUAAAAGUUAUAUUCAAAUUCAUUCUGUGUAAAAAGGGAUGUAGUGAGUAUAUGGGUAACCGUGAUCGAUGUUUUCCCCUCUUAAUUUCGUAAGUUUCUUAUGCCAUUUAAUAUUCUUUCGUUGUUUCACCCCUCCU
rnacentral:lncRNA from 1 species